rnacentral:rRNA from 1 species
UAGGGAAUCUUCGGCAAUGGGGGCAACCCUGACCGAGCAACGCCGCGUGAGUGAAGAAGGUUUUCGGAUCGUAAAGCUCUGUUGUAAGUCAAGAACGGGUGUGAGAGUGGAAAGUUCACACUGUGACGGUAGCUUACCAGAAAGGGACGGCUAACUACGUGCCAGCAGCCGCGGUAAUACGUAGGUCCCGAGCGUUGUCCGGAUUUAUUGGGCGUAAAGCGAGCGCAGGCGGUUUGAUAAGUCUGAAGUUAAAGGCUGUGGCUCAACCAUAGUUCGCUUUGGAAACUGUCAAACUUGAGUGCAGAAGGGGAGAGUGGAAUUCCAUGUGUAGCGGUGAAAUGCGUAGAUAUAUGGAGGAACACCGGUGGCGAAAGCGGCUCUCCGGUCUGUAACUGACGCUGAGGCUCGAAAGCGUGGGGNGCGAACAGGAUUAGAUCCCUGGU